UUUUUGCCAACAAUGCGUCGGCAUGUCUUUAAUUGAACAAAACGGUGACUUUUUGUAGUUGAAUGAUAGACAGCCUCGAAAUAAAUGUGCUACCUGGGCUUGUUUACCGGAUUCCGGUUGAUGGGCCAAGAAAUUCGAUGGCAUACACACCUGCGUUCCCAGAUCCGGAGCAAAAUUUACUUCAAGAGUGACCUGCAAUUGGCUCUAGGCGUAUGACGUCACGUAGAUGGCGUCCCUAGCGGUACCGCGGAGUGUGAAACACAGCCACAACAUACGUAUAAUUAAAUAUCGAGCAGCCGCUUAUCCACUCUGCGCAUCGUUAAUAAUUGCAGGCGUUUGAAAACUGCGUCAUUGAAGUAAAAUAAUUAAUUACUGCCUCAAGACACUGCGCAGUUGCGGUUCCACGCGAAGAGUAUGCGGUACAUUUUGUUCUUCUUCUUUUUGACCGUUCCGUUUCUUUCUUACUCUUAUU
rnacentral:lncRNA from 1 species